UCCCAAUCUAUCUCUAGUAUU
rnacentral:miRNA from 1 species